rnacentral:lncRNA from 1 species
AAUAAACCUGCGUCACGUAAUUUCAAACAAAUAUCCCAACCCUCCGCCAUGUCUAUGAACAAACACAUAAAUAAUGGGUUAUUUAAGAUGAUAAGGGAAUACCUUUAUUGAUAAGAAGACCAGCUAACAAGCCACGUCCUCUGAAUUCCACGGCAAUAUCUUUCGGUUCAACCAUAAAUGCACAAACGUUUGGAUCAGCAAGUGCUUCUUCAAGAGCAACCAAAUUAUCAUAUGGUACUAACUCAAAACCCGGCAUGAAUGGACCAAACCCACUAUAACUACUAGGAUCAGUACUCGAAGAUAUUG